rnacentral:rRNA from 1 species
UACGGGGGGUGCAAACGUUGCUCGGAAUUAUUGGGCGUAAAGCGCACGUAGGCGGUCUUGUAAGUCGGGUGUGAAAGCCCGGGGCUUAACCCCGGAAGUGCACUCGAAACUGCAAGGCUUGAGUAUGGAAGAGGGUCUCGGAAUUCCCGGUGUAGAGGUGAAAUUCGUAGAUAUCGGGAGGAACACCAGUGGCGAAGGCGGCCUGCUGGGCAGUGGCUGACACUGAGGCGCGACAGCGUGGGGAGCAAACAGG